rnacentral:rRNA from 1 species
UACGGAGGGUGCGAGCGUUGUCCGGAAUCAUUGGGCGUAAAGGGCGCGUAGGUGGCCUGCUAAGCGUGCGGUGAAAGCUCGGGGCUCAACCCCGAGUCGGCCGUGCGAACUGGUGGGCUUGAGCACUGUAGAGGCAGGCGGAAUUCCGGGUGUAGCGGUGGAAUGCGUAGAGAUCCGGAAGAACACCGGUGGCGAAGGCGGCCGUGCUGGGCAGUGAGCUGACACUGAGGCGCGAAAGCGAUGGGAGGCAAACAGG